rnacentral:rRNA from 1 species
GACAGAGGGUGCAAACGUUGCUCGGAUUUACUGGGCGUAAAGCGUGCGCAGGCGGCUAUGCAAGACAGAUGUGAAAUCCCCGGGCUCAACCUGGGAACUGCAUUUGUGACUGCAUGGCUAGAGUACGGUAGAGGGGGAUGGAAUUCCUGGUGUAGCGGUGGAAUGCGCAGAUAUCAGGAGGAACACCAACGGCGAAGGCAGCUCGCUGGGACGGUACUGACACUGAGGCGCGAAAGCGUGGGGAGCGAACAGG